rnacentral:rRNA from 1 species
AGUCAAGUAAUUAAGUGCAUGUGGUGGAUGCCUUGGCAGUCAGAGGCGAUGAAAGACGUGAUAGCCUGCGAAAAGCUCCGGGGAGGCGGCAAAUAUCCUUUGAUCCGGAGAUGUCUGAAUGGGGGAACCCACCUACUUUAAGGUAGGUAUUGCAACAUGAAUACAUAGUGUUGCAAGGCGAACGAGGGGAAGUGAAACAUCUCAGUACCCUUAGGAAAAGAAAUCAAUUGAGAUUCCCUCAGUAGCGGCGAGCGAACGGGGAUCAGCCCAUUAAGUUAUGUGUGUUUUAGUGGAACGCUCUGGGAAGUGCGAACGUAGAGGGUGAUAUUCCCGUACACGAAAGGGCACACAUAAUGAUGACGAGUAGGGCGAGGCACGUGAAACCUUGUCUGAAUAUGGGGGGACCAUCCUCCAAGGCUAAAUACUCCUGACUGACCGAUAGUGAACCAGUACCGUGAGGGAAAGGCGAAAAGAACCCCUGUGAGGGGAGUGAAAUAGAUCCUGAAACCGCAUGCAUACAAGCAGUGGGAGCACCUUCGUGGUGUGACUGCGUACCUUUUGUAUAAUGGGUCAGCGACUUAUAUUCAGUAGCAAGGUUAACCGUAUAGGGGAGCCGUAGAGAAAUCGAGUCUUAAUAGGGCGUUUAGUUGCUGGGUAUAGACCCGAAACCAGGCGAUCUAUCCAUGAGCAGGUUGAAGGUUGGGUAACACUAACUGGAGGACCGAACCCACUGUCGUUGAAAAGCCAGGGGAUGACUUGUGGAUAGGGGUGAAAGGCUAAUCAAGCCUGGUGAUAGCUGGUUCUCCCCGAAAGCUAUUUAGGUAGCGCCUCGGACGAAUACCAUAGGGGGUAGAGCACUGUUUCGGCUAGGGGGUCAUCCCGACUUACCAAACCGAUGCAAACUCCGAAUACCUAUGAGUACUAUCCGGGAGACAGACUGCGGGUGCUAACGUCCGUAGUCAAGAGGAAAACAAUCCAGACCGCCAGCUAAGGCCCCAAAAUCAUAGUUAAGUGGGAAACGAUGUGGGAAGGCAUAGACAGCUAGGAGGUUGGCUUAGAAGCAGCCACCCUUUAAAGAAAGCGUAAUAGCUCACUAGUCGAGUCGGCCUGCGCGGAAGAUGUAACGGGGCUAAAACUAUGUGCCGAAGCUGCGGAUNNNNNNNNNAUGCUGGAGGUAUCAGAAGUGCGAAUGCUGACGUGAGUAACGACAAAACGGGUGAAAAACCCGUUCGCCGAAAGACCAAGGGUUCCAGUCCAACGUUAAUCGGGGCUGGGUGAGUCGACCCCUAAGGCGAGGCCGAAAGGCGUAGUCGAUGGGAAAAUGGUUAAUAUUCCAUUACUUCUGUGUAAUGCGAUGAGAGGACGGAGAAGGCUAAAUCAGCCUGGCGUUGGUUGUCCAGGUGAAAGGAUGUAGGCAUGUAUCUUAGGCAAAUCCGGGGUACUCUAUGCUGAGAUCUGAUAGCAAGCUGUACUUGUACAGCGAAGUGGUUGAUGCCAUGCUUCCAGGAAAAGUCUCUAAGCUUCAGUUACACAGGAAUCGUACCCGAAACCGACACAGGUGGUCAGGUCGAGUAGACCAAGGCGCUUGAGAGAACUCUGCUGAAGGAACUAGGCAAAAUGGUACCGUAACUUCGGGAGAAGGUACGCUGUUGUUGGUGAUGGAACUCGCUUCCUGAGCUGACGACAGCCGCAGAAACCAGGCCGCUGCAACUGUUUAUUAAAAACAUAGCACUCUGCAAACACGAAAGUGGACGUAUAGGGUGUGAUGCCUGCCCGGUGCUGGAAGGUUAAUUGAUGGGGUUAGCGUAAGCGAAGCUCUUGAUCGAAGCCCCAGUAAACGGCGGCCGUAACUAUAACGGUCCUAAGGUAGCGAAAUUCCUUGUCGGGUAAGUUCCGACCUGCACGAAUGGCAUAAUGAUGGCGGCGCUGUCUCCAGCAGAGGCUCAGUGAAAUCGAAAUCGCUGUGAAGAUGCAGUGUACCCGCGGCUAGACGGAAAGACCCCGUGAACCUUUACUGCAGCUUGACACUGAACUUUGACCUUACUUGUGUAGGAUAGGUGGGAGGCUUUGAAGCUGGAACGCUAGUUCCAGUGGAGCCGUCCUUGAAAUACCACCCUGGUAAUGUUGAGGUUCUAACUCUGUCCCGUGAUCCGGGACGAGGACCGUGUCUGGUGGGUAGUUUGACUGGGGCGGUCUCCUCCUAAAGAGUAACGGAGGAGUACGAAGGUGCGCUCAGCGUGGUCGGAAAUCACGCGUAGAGUAUAAAGGCAAAAGCGCGCUUAACUGCGAGACCCACAAGUCGAGCAGGUACGAAAGUAGGUCUUAGUGAUCCGGUGGUUCUGUAUGGAAGGGCCAUCGCUCAACGGAUAAAAGGUACUCUGGGGAUAACAGGCUGAUACCGCCCAAGAGUUCAUAUCGACGGCGGUGUUUGGCACCUCGAUGUCGGCUCAUCUCAUCCUGGGGCUGAAGCAGGUCCCAAGGGUAUGGCUGUUCGCCAUUUAAAGAGGUACGCGAGCUGGGUUUAGAACGUCGUGAGACAGUUCGGUCCCUAUCUACCGUGGGCGCUGGAAAUUUGAGAGGAUCUGCUCCUAGUACGAGAGGACCAGAGUGGACGAACCUCUGGUGUACCGGUUGUGACGCCAGUCGCAUCGCCGGGUAGCUAUGUUCGGAAGGGAUAACCGCUGAAAGCAUCUAAGCGGGAAGCCUACCUCAAGAUAAGAUUUCCCUAGGACUUUAUGUCCUCUAAAGAGCCGUUCGAGACUAGGACGUUGAUAGGUUGGAUGUGGAAGCAUAGUGAUAUGUGAAGCUGACCAAUACUAAUUGCUCGUGAGGCUUGACUAU